rnacentral:miRNA from 1 species
UGUGUGUGUGUGUAUGUGUAUGUGUGUAUAUAUAUAUACACACACACGUGUAUAUAUAUAUAUAUAUAUAUACACACACACACACACACACACACACA